GAUGAACGCUGGCGGCGUGCCUAAUACAUGCAAGUCGAGCGAACAGACGAGGAGCUUGCUCCUUUGACGUUAGCGGCGGACGGGUGAGUAACACGUAGGUAACCUACCUAUAAGACUGGGAUAACUUCGGGAAACCGGAGCUAAUACCGGAUAAUAUUUCGAACCGCAUGGUUCGAUAGUGAAAGAUGGCUUUGCUAUCACUUAUAGAUGGACCUGCGCCGUAUUAGCUAGUUGGUAAGGUAACGGCUUACCAAGGCAACGAUGCGUAGCCGACCUGAGAGGGUGAUCGGCCACACUGGAACUGAGACACGGUCCAGACUCCUACGGGAGGCAGCAGUAGGGAAUCUUCCGCAAUGGGCGAAAGCCUGACGGAGCAACGCCGCGUGAGUGAUGAAGGUCUUCGGAUCGUAAAACUCUGUUAUUAGGGAAGAACAAAUGUGUAAGUAACUGUGCACGUCUUGACGGUACCUAAUCAGAAAGCCACGGCUAACUACGUG
rnacentral:rRNA from 1 species